rnacentral:rRNA from 1 species
AUUGAACGCUGGCGGCAGGCCUAACACAUGCAAGUCGAGCGGAUGAAGGGAGCUUGCUCCUGGAUUCAGCUGCGGACGGGUGGGUAAUGCCUAGGAAUCUGCCUGGUAGUUGGGGAUAACGUCCGUAAACGGGCGCUAAUACCGCAUACGUCCUUAGGGAGAAAGGGGGGGAUCUUCGGACCUCACGCUAUUAGAUGAGCCUACGUCGGAUUAGCUAGUUGGUGGGGUAAAGGCCUACCAAGGCGACGAUCCGUAACUGGUCUGAGAGGAUGAUCAGUCACACUGGAACUGAGACACGGUCCAGACUCCUACGGGAGGCAGCAGUGGGGAAUAUUGGACAAUGGGCGAAAGCCUGAUCCAGCCAUGCCGCGUGUGUGAAGAAGGUCUUCGGAUUGUAAAGCACUUUUAGUUGGGAGGAACAGCAGUAAGUUAAUACCUUGAUGUUUUGACGUUACCAAAAGAAUAAGCACCGGCUAACUUCGUG